rnacentral:rRNA from 1 species
GACGAACCGUGCGAACGUUAUUCGGAAUCACUGGGCUUAAAGCGCGUGUAGGCGGGACGGCACGUCGGUCGCUGAAAGCCCCCGGCUCAACCGGGGAACGGGCGCCGAUACGACCGGCCUGGAGGGACGUAGGGGGACCUGGAACUUCCGGUGGAGCGGUGAAAUGCGUUGAGAUCGGAAGGAACGCCCGUGGCGAAGGCGGCUCUCUGGGACGGUACUGACGCUGAGACGCGAAAGCGUGGGGAGCGAACAGG